CUUACACAUGCAAGUCGAACGGUAACAGGAACACUUGCUGCUUCGCUGACGAGUGGCGGACGGGUGAGUAAUGUCUGGGAAACUGCCUGAUGGAGGGGGAUAACUACUGGAAACGGUAGCUAAUACCGCAUAACGUCGCAAGACCAAAGAGGGGGACCUUCGGGCCUCUUGCCAUCGGAUGUGCCCAGAUGGGAUUAGCUAGUAGGUGGGGUAACGGCUCACCUAGGCGACGAUCCCUAGCUGGUCUGAGAGGAUGACCAGCCACACUGGAACUGAGACACGGUCCAGACUCCUACGGGAGGCAGCAGUGGGGAAUAUUGCACAAUGGGCGCAAGCCUGAUGCAGCCAUGCCGCGUGUAUGAAGAAGGCCUUCGGGUUGUAAAGUACUUUCAGCGGGGAGGAAGGCGAUAAGGUUAAUAACCUUGUCGAUUGACGUUACCCGCAGAAGAAGCACCGGCUAACUCCGUGCCAGCAGCCGCGGUAAUACGGAGGGUGCAAGCGUUAAUCGGAAUUACUGGGCGUAAAGCGCACGCAGGCGGUCUGUCAAGUCGGAUGUGAAAUCCCCGGGCUCAACCUGGGAACUGCAUUCGAAACUGGCAGGCUAGAGUCUUGUAGAGGGGGGUAGAAUUCCAGGUGUAGCGGUGAAAUGCGUAGAGAUCUGGAGGAAUACCGGUGGCGAAGGCGGCCCCCUGGACAAAGACUGACGCUCAGGUGCGAAAGCGUGGGGGAGCAAACAGGAUUAGAUACCCUGGUAGUCCCACGCCGUAAACGAUGUCGACUUGGAGGGUUGUGCCCUUGAGGCGUGGGCUUCCGGAGCUAACGCGGUUAAGUCGACCGCCUGGGGGAGUACGGCCCGCCAAGGUUAAACUCAAAUUGAAAUUGACGGGGGGGCCCCGCACAAGCGGGUGGACAUGGUGGGUUUAAUUUCGAUGGCAACCGCCGAAAAAACCUUUACCCUACUUCUUG
rnacentral:rRNA from 1 species